rnacentral:rRNA from 1 species
GACAGAGGUGCCAAGCGUUAGGCGGAAUCACUGGGCUUAAAGCGCGCGUAGGCGGCUUUGUAAGUCGGAUGUGAAAUCCCCGGGCUUAACCUGGGAACUGCAUUCGAGACUGCAUAGCUAGAGUAUGGGAGAGGGAAGUGGAAUUUCAGGUGUAGCGGUGAAAUGCGUAGAUAUCUGAAGGAACAUCAGUGGCGAAAGCGACUUCCUGGACCAAUACUGACGCUCAUGUGCGAAAGCGUGAGGAGCAAACAGG